GGACUACUGGGGUAUCUAAUCCUGUUCGCUCCCCACGCUUUCGCUCCUCAGCGUCAGUAUCGGCCCAGACCACUGCCUUCGCCAUCGGUGUUCCUCCUGAUAUCUGCGCAUUUCACCGCUACACCAGGAAUUCCAUGGUCCCCUACCGAACUCAAGCCAUAGAAGUAUCAAGUGGCGUCUCUGGGUUAAGCCCAGAGUUUUCACACCUGACUUUCUAAGCCGCCUACGAGCUCUUUACGCCCAAUAAAUCCGGACAACGCUUGCUCCCUACGUAUUACCGCGGCUGCUGGCAC
rnacentral:rRNA from 1 species